AGUUUGAUCCUGGCUCAGGAUGAACGCUAGCUACAGGCUUAACACAUGCAAGUCGAGGGGCAGCAUGAACUUAGCUUGCUAAGUUUGAUGGCGACCGGCGCACGGGUGAGUAACACGUAUCCAACCUUCCGUUUACUCAGGGAUAGCCUUUCGAAAGAAAGAUUAAUACCUGAUAGUAUGGUGAGAUUGCAUGAUAACACCAUUAAAGAUUUAUUGGUAAACGAUGGGGAUGCGUUCCAUUAGGUAGUAGGCGGGGUAACGGCCCACCUAGCCUGCGAUGGAUAGGGGUUCUGAGAGGAAGGUCCCCCACAUUGGAACUGAGACACGGUCCAAACUCCUACGGGAGGCAGCAGUGAGGAAUAUUGGUCAAUGGGCGAGAGCCUGAACCAGCCAAGUAGCGUGAAGGAUGAAGGUCCUACGGAUUGUAAACUUCUUUUAUACGGGAAUAAAGUUUCCUACGUGUAGGAUUUUGUAUGUACCGUAUGAAUAAGCAUCGGCUAACUCCGUGCCAGCAGCCGCGGUAAUACGGAGGAUGCGAGCGUUAUCCGGAUUUAUUGGGUUUAAAGGGAGCGCAGACGGGAGAUUAAGUCAGUUGUGAAAGUUUGCGGCUCAACCGUAAAAUUGCAGUUGAUACUGGUUUCCUUGAGUGCAGUUGAGGCAGGCGGAAUUCGUGGUGUAGCGGUGAAAUGCUUAGAUAUCACGAAGAACCCCGAUUGCGAAGGCAGCUUGCUAAACUGUAACUGACGUUCAUGCUCGAAAGUGUGGGUAUCAAACAGGAUUAGAUACCCUGGUAGUCCACACGGUAAACGAUGGAUACUCGCUGUUGGCGAUAUACUGUCAGCGGCCAAGCGAAAGUAUUAAGUAUCCCACCUGGGGAGUACGCCGGCAACGGUGAAACUCAAAUGAAUUGACGG
rnacentral:rRNA from 1 species